rnacentral:rRNA from 1 species
AAGCCAUGCAUGUCUAAGNAUAAGCAAUUUAUACAGUGAACUCGAAUGGCUCAUUAAAUCAGUUAUCGUUUAUUUGAUAGUACCUUUACUACUAGGUAUAACCGUGGUAAUUCUAGAGCUAAUACUUGCUAACAAAUCCCGACUUCUGGAAGGGAUGUAUUUAUUAGAUAAAAAAUCAAUGCCUUCGGGCUCUUUAGAUGAUUCAUAAUAACUUUUCGAAUCGCAUGGCUUUUUGCCGGCGAUGGUUCAUUCAAAUUUCUGCCCUAUCAACUAAUCGCAUGGCUUUUUGCCGGCGAUGGUUCAUUCAAAUUUCUGCCCUAUCAACUUUCGAUGGUAGGAUAGUGGCCUACCAUGGUUUCAACGGGUAACGGGGAAUAAGGGUUCGAUUCCGGAGAGGGAGCCUGAGAAACGGCUACCACAUCCAAGGAAGGCAGCAGGCGCGCAAAUUACCCAAUCCUAAUUCAGGGGAGGUAGUGACAAUAAAUAACGAUACAGGGCCCAUACGGGUCUUGUAAUUGGAAUGAGUACAAUUUAAAUACCUUAACGAGGAACAAUUGGAGGGCAAGUCUGGUGCCAGCAGCCGCGGUAAUUCCAGCUCCAAUAGCGUAUAUUAAAGUUGUUGCAGUUAAAAAGCUCGUAGUUGAACCUUGGGCUUGGUUGGCCGGUCCGCCUUACGGUGAGUACUGGACCCAACCGAGCCUUUCCUUCUGGGAGACCUUCUGCCCUUUUUGGGUGGUUGGGGAACCAGGACUUUUACUUUGAAAAAAUUAGAGUGUUCAAAGCAGGCACUUUGCUCGAAUAUAUUAGCAUGGAAUAAUAGAAUAGGACGUUAUGGUUCUAUUUUGUUGGUUUCUAGGACCAUCGUAAUGAUUAAUAGGGACGGUCGGGGGCAUCAGUAUUCAAUUGUCAGAGGUGAAAUUCUUGGAUUAAUUGAAGACUAACUCUGCGAAAGCAUUUGCCAAGGACGUUUACAUUAAUCAAGAACGAAAGUUAGGGGAUCGAAGAUGAUCAGAUACCGUCGUAGUCUUAACCAUAAACUAUGCCGACUAGGGAUCGGGUGUUGUUCUUUUUUUCACUCACUGGCACCUU